AUAGCUAUGGAUGCUGCAUUUGGAAUGGAAUAUUUGCACUCAAAGAAUAUUGUGCAUUUUGAUUUGAAAUGCGACAACUUGCUUGUGAACUUGAAAGAUCCCCAACGACCAAUUUGCAAGGUUGGUGAUUUUGGCCUGUCAAAAAUUAAGCGAAAUACCUUGGUUUCUGGAGGUGUGCGAGGAACUCUACCAUGGAUGGCACCAGAACUGCUAAAUGGUAACAGCAAUAAGGUCUCAGAAAAGGUUGACGUUUUCUCCUUUGGAAUUGUCUUGUG
rnacentral:misc_RNA from 1 species